rnacentral:lncRNA from 1 species
CGAUCCAUUGAUAACUGAUGGUAACUUCCGCCAGACAAUCCUGUCCAGCAUUGCUCGUGCUGGACAUGCUAUCGAGGAGCUAUAUGGCUCUCCUCAAGACAUCGAGGGUGUAGUGAGGGAUGGAAAGAUUUAUGUCGUUCAGACAAGACCUCAGAUGUGAUCAUAUUCUCGUUGUAUGUUGUUCAGAGAAGACCACAGAUAUGAUCAUAUUCUCAUGGUAUCAGAUCUGUGACCACUUACCUCCCAUGAAGUUGCCUGUAUGAUUAUACGUGAUCCAAAGCCAUCACAUCAUGUUCACCUUCAGCUAUUGGAGGAGAAGUGAGAAGUAGGAAUUGCAAUAUGAGGAAUAAUAAGAAAAACUUUGUGAAAGCUAAAUUAGCUGGGUAUGAUAUAGGGAGAAAUGUGUAAACAUUGUACUAUAUAUAGUAU